rnacentral:rRNA from 1 species
UACGUAGGCAGCGAGCGUUGUUCGGAGUUAUUGGGCCUAAAGCAUCCGUAGCCGGUCCUGCAAGUCUUCCGUUAAAUCCAGCUGCUCAACAGAUGGGCUGCGGGGGAUACUACAUGGCUAGGAGGCGGGAGAGGCAAGCGGUACUCUAUGGGUAGGGGGUAAAAAUCCGUUGAUCCAUAGAAAGACCACCAGUGGCGAAGGCGGCUUGCCAGAACGCGCUCGACGGUGAGGGAUGAAAGCUGGGGGGAGCAAAACCGG